UUAAGGGGGAGUUAGAGUAUGUAUACGAUGUGGGUCUCCAGCAUGGUUACAUGAAAGGCUUUAUAAAGGACAUCCAAGCAAGGGUAAGCCAAGCCCUAAAUGUAUGUAUUUCAAAAUGUAUCGAAAGCACCUAUCCCAAAUGCAAAAGACAUAACCAAGCAGCAGUUUUUCCCUCUGCCAUACCCUCUGGCAAAACCUAAUUCUGGUAAAGAAUGUUAUAAAAAAGAGCAAAGAAAAAACUGGCUUACUACAGAACACCAACAAUAUUCAACAGGCUCAGAAAUGAGAAAAAAAGGAGCAAUUGACAAAAAUCAAAAAUAUACAAAAUUCCAGCCAAAAUAGUGGAUUCCCAGCAGAACAUGGCAUACAUAGGAGUGACUACAAGGACAUUGCAACAAAGAGUAGAAGAACACAAGAAGGGCAAUGAACAAAUUCUAAAUAAAAACCAGCUUUAGACCUGCCAACCUCAUGAGCCUAUUUACUUAAGAAAUGGAAAGGGGCAUGGCAGAGAAGAACCUAAGUGGGUGGGAACCAGGGAACUGUUGCAUAUGCGCG
rnacentral:lncRNA from 1 species